rnacentral:rRNA from 1 species
GACGAACGCUGGCGGCGUGCUUAACACAUGCAAGUCGAACGGAAAGGCCCUGCUUUUGUGGGGUGCUCGAGUGGCGAACGGGUGAGUAACACGUGAGUAACCUGCCCUUGACUUUGGGAUAACUUCAGGAAACUGGGGCUAAUACCGGAUAGGAGCUCCUGCUGCAUGGUGGGGGUUGGAAAGUUUCGGCGGUUGGGGAUGGACUCGCGGCCUAUCAGCUUGUUGGUGGGGUAGUGGCUUACCAAGGCUUUGACGGGUAGCCGGCCUGAGAGGGUGACCGGCCACAUUGGGACUGAGAUACGGCCCAGACUCCUACGGGAGGCAGCAGUGGGGAAUAUUGCACAAUGGGCGGAAGCCUAAUGCAGCAACGCCGCGUGCGGGAUGACGGCCUUCGGGUUGUAAACCGCUUUCGCCUGUGACGAAGCGUGAGUGACGGUAAUGGGUAAAGAAGCACCGGCUAACUACGUG